rnacentral:tRNA from 1 species
AGCGGGGUAGCUCAGUUGGUAGAGCUUCGUGCAGUAAGCGGUAGCACUAACCGCUUGGUCGCAGGUUCGAAUCCUGCCCCCGCGACCA